rnacentral:rRNA from 1 species
GACGAACCGAGCGAACGUUGUUCGGAGUCACUGGGCUUAAAGGGCGCGUAGGCGGGUGCUCAAGUCUGUGGUGAAAUCCUCCGGCUCAACCGGAGAACUGCCAUGGAUACUGGGUGUCUUGAGGGUGGUAGGGGUAUGCGGAACUAUCGGUGGAGCGGUGAAAUGCGUUGAUAUCGAUAGGAACUCCGGUGGCGAAGGCGGCAUACUGGACCACAUCUGACGCUGAGGCGCGAAAGCCAGGGGAGCGAACGGG